ensembl:lncRNA
GAGGAAAAGUAGAUAAUAUAUUGGUUUAAGUUUAUGGCAUCCAAGUCUAUUCAAAAACAUGGGCUUUCUCUCCUGUUUCUCAUUUCUCAUGGGGUAGUUUCUGAAUUAGGUCUCGCCUUUUGUAUUUGAUUAAUUUCCUCUGUUUAAGUCCAUGAGGAUUGAUUGUUUCUCUAUAUGGGUUUGCUGAAAUGUAAAAUAAGCAAUCUGCCUGUUUCUUCAAACAAGACAAAAAUUAAUACUGUGACCUAAAAGGAUAUUAAUUUUAAAAAGAAUAAUAUGCAUAUCAAUCAAAGAUAAGGUCUCAGAUGCCUCAGACCUGAUAGACUAUCACUUUCUCCUUUUCUUUCUUGCGUAGUUGUUGAGGAUUUCAGAUAUGGACUCUGGAGCUCAUGUUCUAAAGAGUCACGGAGAAGAGGAGACAGCGUGUGCAAGGGAAUGAAGAAAAGGACCAAGACUAUUUUCAAAUCACCCAUGGCACUACUAGAAAAGUAUUUCAGCAAAAAGACUGGCUGAUUUUAUGAUUCCUGUGUCCACCACAUCCCUCUAAUUUUUACAUAAUGCACCCCACAUCUCUCCAGAUUUCAGGAAGACUAUUAUUCUUUGACUUUAGCUUUCUGAUGGGUUCACAAAAAGCUGUUAGUGUGCUGUUGGUCCAGCUUUUUUCUUGUUGGAAAUAUGAGAGCUACAGUUCUGCGAUGAAACCACAGUUGUUGAGGAUUUCAGAUAUGGACUCUGGAGCUCAUGUUCUAAAGGUGAGGUUACUUUCCUGUCCUUGCUGUUUAUAUCUUAUAUAGAAUUAGAAAGAUGCCAUGUGAAAUGCUAUUGGCCGCUCACUCGUGGCUAUGUAUGCAUUGUAUCCAACUGCUCCUUCAGUUUGUAGCAACCAAGGCAGGAGUGCUGUGGUCAGCUAUUGGCUAAACUGUAAGCAGUGUCAGAGCAAAUUUCAGAGGAACUCUGUGAAUGGUUGCUGAUAUGCCAUCCACAGAGUAGGACUGUCUAGAAAAAAAUCCUGAUAUUUAUUUAUUAUUUUCAUAUUGAAUUAGCUCCCCAAUAUCUCCUUAGGCUGACCACCAGCACUGUUGCCCUGCUUACCAAAAACCAACUUGGUGGAGCAGGGGGCAUGGUAGGCAUGCCAACCUGAGCAAUUAAAAUGUUAAAUGCCUGACUUUAUAAUGUGUGGAUGGAUGUUUGUGCUAAGUGUUAAAAAAUAUAUCUUGUGUCUGUAAUCCCAGCACUUUGGGAGGCCGAGACGGGCGGAUCACGAGGUCAGGAGAUCGAGACCAUCCUGGCUAAUACGGUGAAACCCCGUCUCUACUAAAAAUACAAAAAACUAGCCGGGCGAGGUGGCGGGCGCCUGUAGUCCCAGCUACUCGGGAGGCUGAGGCAGGAGAAUGGCGUAAACCCGGAGGCGGAGCUUGCAGUGAGCUGAGAUCCGGCCACUGCACUCCAGCCUGGCGGUAGAGCGAGACUCCGCCUCAAAAAAAAAAAAAAAAAAAAAAAAAAAUAUAUAUAUAUAUAUAUACACAUAUCUUGCCACAGGGAGAGAAUGGUGAUUUGAAUACUCUUUUCAGAGCUCCCUGAGUUUCCUUGCUGUGGUUGAAUAGGAAGUUGUAGAGCAUUUUCCCAUCAGUGAAAUGCCUCUGUUUCCUUUUGGGGUGGUAGUAGAAAGCCUAUAGGACUCAUGAUCCCUGAUGUCUUCUUUCAGUUCUCUACAUGGCAUAUUACAUGAUAGCAUGAGAAAAAUAUGCCAGCAAUUCAAGCAGAAAGAAUUCUGGAAGACUCACUUCUCAGUCUUUAUUCUCUGAUGUGUAUUGAAUGACAAUAGCAGUAAAACCUCAAGCUGUUCAUUUGGAUCGGGCAGCCAUUGUGCACUUGGAUAUGACUAUUUUUUUUUUUUUUUUAUCAAAUCUCCUGUUAUUUGCAUUUAUAUGAUGCCUUUCUUCUAAAGCUCUUAAAGCAAUUUCAGCUUCACAAUACUUGUGUGAAUUGAAUAAGAAGAAACAUACUUCGUUUUGAGGUUGAGAUAAAAGAUAAAUUGUCAAUGACUCUCCUCAACAGAACAGAGCACAGUGGGUACUCAGUUUUUCCACACUGAUUUCCCUGGAAACCUCAAAGAAAACAUUAUUUUAAAAAGGAGUUCUGAUCCUGGGUGUAGACAUCCGGGGGCAAGGGUCCAUUGACAGGCUUUAGGGCUUCUGUGAACUCCCUGAGAGAUGUACAAAAUGAAGUUCCCCUGCACAUUUUCCUGGGCUGAGGGUUUGCAUUACCAUAUUUAUCAGAUUCUAACACAGCUUAAGGACCAUUGUCUGGAACCAUGCUCCUUAAAUAUCUGGUAUAUUCAAAUCAAUUGAGAUGUUUGUCAAAAAUUCCAGGGCACAUAUCCAGGAAUCCCAAGUUAAUAAGUUUGGGGUGGGGUCUUGGGACCUGAAUUUUGACACCAAGUGAUUCCAGUUCUGGUGAACCAAGAGACACAUUUAGAGAAACAAUGGUCUAGCCCCUUGAGGGUGGCUUAGUAAGAAAGUCACUGACUGGCAUCUUUGGAAAUUACUGUUUCAGACUGGGGAAGAGAAGUUAAAGUGCAGGGCUAGAGAGAGGGUGCAGAAGUUGUAGUGGCAGAGAAUACCAUAUAUUUCGUCAUGUGUCCUAAAACCAGAAUCGUAUUUCAAGAGAAGUUAGGCUAUCAGUCUGUGAAAGUGAAUGAUUGAAAGUGGAAAAUAAAACAGCUUAGAUGAGAAUGAUUUAAAAUGUACAGGGGAAAGUGUUAGUAGACACAAUACUGUUUUUAGGUCUUUCUUAUCUGUUUUAUAUUGCCCUUAUAUCAGAAAAACAGCUGCUGGCAGGAAACAAAUGCUCAAUCAAGCCAUCAAAUAUCAAGGAGCUGGAAAUUCAGAUCCAGCCAUUAACCAGAACAUAAGAAAUAACAUUAGGUGAAGAGGAGCAUUUUACUGCAUUGCUGGGAGAACUGAGUUAGCUGGACCAAGGUCUGUUCUAAAGCAGCAAAGUAUUUUAGGAUUUUCUGUCUUUACAAGCCCAUGGAAGAAUAGCAUAAGUAGAGAGAUUUUAUUCCAUCGAAGGGGGCACUUCUGUUUCUUUCCCAUGAAGGUAGUGUGUUUGACAAGCAGUUCUAUGAAACUGCUAUUUUAAAUACCUUCAUUCCUGCAUUAGGAGACCAUCCGGAUUCAGUAUAAGCUGAUGGGUUGACCAGGGCAGGAAUACAGUUGAUCCCAUCCCCGGUCAGUUCUCCAGGCUUUCCUUCAGGAAAUACUCUUGACAAGGCCUGACAAAAUCCUCUUGUUACUGUGUCAUCAUUCAUGUUGCCAAAUAUACUUUGAUGUGUGUGGCACCAGACCACACUUAAGGAAAAUUGCUUCAUGAACUUUUAUUUAAAGCUGUAAUAAUGUUAGCUCGGUGGCUUCUUUGCUUGUUACUUUGUCAUUUAGUUUGGUUGUAAGAAUAUGAUGCGGGUGGUGAGUCAAUUGCUCUAAAACCUCACUGCAAUCUGUAAAGUACUAUAUUCAUAAAGUACCUUUUGGGAAGUACAUAGUGUCUUUUUGAAGAGAUUCAUUUUAAAUUUAACAGAGCCUUUUUCUGUAAAUGUAUUGACACACACUUAGAGCACACCAUGCUGGAGCCUGGCAAGAUCUUUAGAGAAUAUGUGUGCAUGGCUGAUGAAAUGCCAUGAUUUGUUUGGAAAAAGCUUUUAGGAAACUAAGUUGUAUUAAAAGGGAAGUGAGCUUUUUAAAUGUGGGUAUAAUGUACCCUAAUGUAAAGUUGUAGCACUUGAUCCUGAAGAAGGACUUCAAGGAAAGCAAAGGGCUGUCCUGGCUGAAGGGAUCUCUGUCCUUCAGGUUGGCCUGAGCCAACUGAAAGCAGUCUUCCUGCUGUCCUUCCUUGGCCCAGUUCUUUUGUGAUCCCACUCUCCCUUCUCACCACCUUCACUUCCCUCCUCCAAAACACACUCGGAGUCCCAUUCAUUGUUGAAUGCCCAGCACGGUGAAACUGGCACACACUCAUGCUAAAUAGAUAUUUGUUAAAUGAAUUGAUCAAUGCUUAAAAAUCUCCAUGGACCUUCUAUCGGUCUCUGGAUAAAAGUUACAAUCUUUACAAUGACCUACAAAGCCGAGGCUGAUCUUGUCCCUGUGAC